CGAACGAAGCCCUCGGGCUUAGUGGCGGACGGGUGAGUAACGCGUGAGAAUCUACUCCGAGAUGGGGACAACCGUUGGAAACGACGGCUAAUCCCAAUAAGCCGAAAGGUGAAAGGGUUUCCGCUCGCAGAGGAGCUCGCGUCCGAUUAGUUAGUUGGUGGGGUAAGAGCCUACCAAGGCAGCGAUCGGUAGCUGGUCUGAGAGGAUGAGCAGCCACACUGGGACUGAGACACGGCCCAGACUCCUACGGGAGGCAGCAGUGGGGAAUUUUCCGCAAUGGGCGCAAGCCUGACGGAGCAACGCCGCGUGUGGGAAGAAGGCUCUUGGGCUGUCAACCACUUUUCUCAGGGAAGAAGUCCUGACGGUACCUGAGGAAUCAGCCUCGGCUAACUCCGUGCCAGCAGCCGCGGUAAUACGGAGGAGGCAAGCGUUAUCCGGAAUUAUUGGGCGUAAAGCGUCCGCAGGGGGCACUUCAAGUCUGCUGUCAAAGGUCGGAGCUUAACUCCGGUUCGGCAGUGGAAACUGGAGCGCUAGAGGGCGACAGGGGUAGAGGGAAUUCCCAGUGUAGCGGUGAAAUGCGUAGAGAUUGGGAAGAACACCGGUGGCGAAAGCGCUCUACUGGGUCGCACCUGACCCCUCAGGGACGAAAGCUAAGGUAGCGAAAGGGAUUAGAUACCCCUGUAGUCUUAGCCGUAAACGAUGGAUACUAGGCGUGGUUUGUAUCGACCCAAGCCGUGCCGAAGCUAACGCGUUAAGUAUCCCGCCUGGGGAGUACGCACGCAAGUGUGAAACUCAAAGGAAUUGACGGGGGCCCGCACAAGCGGUGGAGGAUGUGGUUUAAUUCGAUGCAACGCGAAGAACCUUACCAGGGCUUGACAUCCCGCGAAUCUUGCUGAAAGGCGAGAGUGCCUUCGGGAGCGCGGAGACAGGUGGUGCAUGGCUGUCGUCAGCUCGUGUCGUGAGAUGUUGGGUUAAGUCCCGCAACGAGCGCAACCAUCGUCAUUAGUUGCCAGCAUUAAGUUGGGCACUCUAGGGAGACUGCCGGUGACANACCGGAGGAAGGUGAGGAUGACGUCAGGUCAGCAUGCC
rnacentral:rRNA from 1 species